UGGGCGAAGCCUGAUCCAGCCAUGCCGCGUGUGUGAAGAAGGUCUUCGGAUUGUAAAGCACUUUAAGUUGGGAGGAAGGGCAUUAACCUAAUACGUUAGUGUUUUGACGUUACCGACAGAAUAAGCACCGGCUAACUCUGUGCCAGCAGCCGCGGUAAUACAGAGGGUGCAAGCGUUAAUCGGAAUUACUGGGCGUAAAGCGCGCGUAGGUGGUUUGUUAAGUUGGAUGUGAAAGCCCCGGGCUCAACCUGGGAACUGCAUCCAAAACUGGCAAGCUAGAGUACGGUAGAGGGUGGUGGAAUUUCCUGUGUAGCGGUGAAAUGCGUAGAUAUAGGAAGGAACACCAGUGGCGAAGGCGACCACCUGGACUGAUACUGACACUGAGGUGCGAAAGCGUGGGGAGCAAACAGGAUUAGAUACCCUGGUAGUCCACGCCGUAAACGAUGUCAACUAGCCGUUGGAAUCCUUGAGAUUUUAGUGGCGCAGCUAACGCAUUAAGUUGACCGCCUGGGGAGUACGGCCGCAAGGUUAAAACUCAAAUGAAUUGACGGGGGCCCGCACAAGCGGUGGAGCAUGUGGUUUAAUUCGAA
rnacentral:rRNA from 1 species